rnacentral:rRNA from 1 species
AGAGUUUGAUCCUGGCUCAGGACGAACGCUGGCGGCGUGCCUAAUACAUGCAAGUCGAACGAAACUUUCUUACACCGAAUGCUUGCAUUCACCGUAAGAAGUUGAGUGGCGGACGGGUGAGUAACACGUGGGUAACCUGCCUAAAAGAAGGGGAUAACACUUGGAAACAGGUGCUAAUACCGUAUAUCUCUAAGGAUCGCAUGAUCCUUAGAUGAAAGAUGGUUUUGCUAUCGCUUUUAGAUGGACCCGCGGCGUAUUAACUAGUUGGUGGGGUAACGGCCUACCAAGGUGAUGAUACGUAGCCGAACUGAGAGGUUGAUCGGCCACAUUGGGACUGAGACACGGCCCAAACUCCUACGGGAGGCAGCAGUAGGGAAUCUUCCACAAUGGACGCAAGUCUGAUGGAGCAACGCCGCGUGAGUGAAGAAGGUCUUCGGAUCGUAAAACUCUGUUGUUAGAGAAGAACACGAGUGAGAGUAACUGUUCAUUCGAUGACGGUAUCUAACCAGCAAGUCACGGCUAACUACGUGCCAGCAGCCGCGGUAAUACGUAGGUGGCAAGCGUUGUCCGG